GGAAGCAUGUUUAUUUGUGUAUUUUUGUGUGAAUGCUGUGUGUGUUUUGAGCAGUAUCACUCAAAUAGCUUGAAAAAAUGUCAGAUUUUUUUUUUUUUUAUGUGAACUUCCUGAGCAAAUGUUAAGAAGUUACAUUCUUCCAUGAGAGAGAAUAUAGAAGAUUAUGAAUUAUAAAUAAAUAAUAGAUCUGCUUGGAAAUGCUCGAAACAACCCUUUUGCUAACAUGAUAGAGCAUAGAAGAUCCUAAAGCAGCAAAAAAUUCUCCGAACCACAACGGUUGUGCAUUCGACUUGUUUACACUUGAGGGAGAGAAAAGAUAAUUCUCCUGAUAUUGUCUCAAGAAGUUCCUCUUUUUCGGCUCUUGUCACCCAUUUCCCGCCUGUUACAAAACUGCAACAUAUUCUGAGAAGCUCCAUUUAUUGCAGGGUAAGAUUUCAGUGUAAUGUAGUAAUAAUAUUUUACCCAACCUUUAUUAGACCUAACCUCCUUUCCUGACCUAGAGGCUGCACCUCAUACCUGGUCUGUGAAAUAACCCAGAGCUAACAUACUGGCCAGCAUCCCAUUGUCCAACUUCUGCUGAUUUGACAUACCAGUGUUUGUGUACAUUAACAAGGAAAUGACCAGCACAAAUAUUGUGAAUGCUGGGCUCUUCACCUGCAAUAUCUAUUGGAAGAAUUCCUCAAAUAAGUAUCAAUUUAGAAAGAUGUUCUUAAAAAAAAAAAAAAAAAAAAAAAAAAAAAAAAAAAAAAAAAAA